GUCACUUUGGCGGAGUGGUUAACGCGCUGCCCUGCUAGCUGCUCUCCUUCACAAGAGUUAUCAAGUUAGGCAGUUCCUUCGGGAGCGUAGGUUCGAAUCCUGCAGGUGACG